UAGUCCACGCCCUAAACGAUGAGUGCUAGAUGUCGGGGCCUUGAGCUUCGGUGUCGUAGCUAACGCGUUAAGCACUCCGCCUGGGGAGUACGGCCGCAAGGUUAAAACUCAAAGGAAUUGACGGGGACCCGCACAAGCGGUGGAGCAUGUGGUUUAAUUCGAGGCAACGCGAAGAACCUUACCAGUCCUUGACAUCCUGAUCGCGGGUUUAUGAGAAUAGACCCUUCGGUUCGGCCGGAUCAGUGACAGGUGCUGCAUGGCUGUCGUCAGCUCGUGUCGUGAGAUGUUGGGUUAAGUCCCGCAACGAGCGCAACCCUCACCCUGUGUUACCAGCGGAUCAUGCCGGGGACUCUCAGGGAACUGCCCGUGAUAAGCGGGAGGAAGGCGGGGAUGACGUCAAGUCAGCACGGCCCUUAUGGACUGGGCUACACACGUGCUACAAUGGUGACUACAGUGGGCAGCGACAUGGUGACAUGAAGCUAAUCUCCAAAAGUCAUCU
rnacentral:rRNA from 1 species